CCUACGGGAGGCAGCAGUCGAGAAUCAUUCACAAUGGGGGAAACCCUGAUGGUGCGACGCCGCGUGGGGGAAUGAAGGUCUUCGGAUUGUAAACCCCUGUCAUGUGGGAGCAAAUUAAAAAGAUAGUACCACAAGAGGAAGAGACGGCUAACUCUGUGCCAGCAGCCGCGGUAAUACAGAGGUCUCAAGCGUUGUUCGGAAUCACUGGGCGUAAAGCGUGCGUAGGCUGUUUCGUAAGUCGUGUGUGAAAGGCGCGGGCUCAACCCGCGGACGGCACAUGAUACUGCGGGACUAGAGGAAUGGAGGGGGAACCGGAAUUCUCGGUGUAGCAGUGAAAUGCGUAGAUAUCGAGAGGAACACUCGUGGCGAAGGCGGGUUCCUGGACAUUAACUGACGCUGAGGCACGAAGGCCAGGGGAGCGAAAGGGAUUAGAUACCCUAGUAGUC
rnacentral:rRNA from 1 species